rnacentral:rRNA from 1 species
UAAGGCCCCUUCGGGGGUACACGAGCGGCGAACGGGUGAGUAACACGUGAGCAAUCUGCCCUUCACUUCGGGAUAACUACGGGAAACCGUGGCUAAUACCGGAUACGACCACUUCCGGCAUCGGAUGGUGGUGGAAAGUUCCGGCGGUGAAGGAUGAGCUCACGGCCUAUCAGCUUGUUGGUGGGGUAAUGGCCCACCAAGGCAACGACGGGUAGCCGGCCUGAGAGGGUGACCGGCCACACUGGGACUGAGACACGGCCCAGACUCCUACGGGAGGCAGCAGUGGGGAAUAUUGGACAAUGGGCGAAAGCCUGAUCCAGCAACGCCGCGUGAGGGAUGACUGCCUUCGGGUUGUAAACCUCUUUCAGCAGGGACGAAGCGCAAGUGACGGUACCUGCAGAAGAAGCACCGGCCAACUACGUGCCAGCAGCCGCGGUAAUACGUAGGGUGCGAGCGUUGUCCGGAAUUAUUGGGCGUAAAGGGCUCGUAGGCGGUUUGUC